rnacentral:lncRNA from 1 species
AUCAAAAAAAAAAAUGAUGUAUCAUCAAAAAAAAAAAAAUGCUGUAUCAUCAAAAAAAAAUUUAUGUUUAUGUCAGCUAUACAAAUUAGCUUUUUCUGUUCAACGUUGUUUUUAAUUUGUUUUAUAAAGUUUGAAAACUUUAUAAUAUUUUGUUCAGGCAGUCUAUAACAAGAGGAUAUUAGGAGCUCCUGAUGUUUAUGAUUAUUAUCGUGAAAUUUCCGAUAUUACUUUGAAGUUCAGCAAAGUUUUAGCAUCAAAGUAUGGAGAGUCAAAUUUGUUAUAAAAGUGUAUAACAUCUUUGUUUAAAUUAUUCGCAAGAAUAAUUUAAACUUAAUUUUACUAAUUUUUUUUACUAAUUUAAUUAAACUAAAUUUAUUUUUAGUUUUAAAAAGAUCAAAACACAAACUUUCAAAAUCUAUUAUUACGUAGUCAUUAGCCAUGAUGAAAAAAAAAAAAUAAUAAUUUAAAAUUUUACAAUACACCAGUUCGAGCUCGGUUCUGCCAUUAUUAACAUCGCGCGCAAAAAAGUCCUGGAACGAAUUUAGUAGGGUAAAUAUUUAUUUUCUCAGUUGCGAAUUAGUAUCAUAAUAUUCAAGAUAAAAGUUAAUUGUGCUGAAAUAGGAUGUACCAACAGUUCCUAUAAGCUAGAAAAAUUGAAAAAUAAAACGUGUUUUCAACACGAAGGGAAGAUACUAUCGGAGUGUGGAUAUGAGUUACCAUUCCAAAUGUAUUGUUUUCCAAGUUUAAAAAGAAAUAGUUUAAAAAAGGAACAUAGGAUUAAUCAGCUCAGAAGAGAAGGAAAGAAGAAAGGAAGUGCGUGGAAACCCGGAAUUGCUGAUAGAGUAUGUUCUGAUCAUUUUGUAGAUAAAACACCAACUGUUAUAAAAGCACCCAAUCACUUCUUUACCAUGUUCUAGUAAAAUGCAACCUGUAGAACCUUUGUUGACUGAAAAAGUAUUUUCACAGAGUUUCCAAGUGUUAGUUUUAAUGCAAAUGUUUUAACCUAUAUUAUCAGACUAUAAGUAUUCAUUGAGUUUACCAAUACCUAUUAAAUGUACUUCAUGUGAAUAGAAAUCUUCACUUAUCACCGCUUAUGUGAGUCAAGUAAAUAGCCUUAGAAAUCAGUUAAAAAAAUUGAAAAUAAAACAAACAGUAAAGUCCAAACAAAAAUUUACUUGGAGAUUAGAUAACAAUGAUAAAAAAAUGAACUUUUGAGGUUGCAUUUAGGGUUAUUACAUGAGGAUAUUGCUGAUUGUUAUAGUAUUUCAAAAUCUGUGUGUUCUAAUACUUUUACCACUUUUAUGAGAAUUAUUGCUAACAUUGGCAGUUUGGCUGCCAAGUGAAGUUAUUAAAAAAAACUUGCUAGAGUCUUUUGUGAAAGCAAAGCAUCACAAGUGUAGAGUGAAAGCAAAGCAUCACUAGUCUAGAGUCCUUUGUGAAAGCAUCACAAGUGUUCUUGAUUAUUUUGAAAUAUUUAUUGAACAUCUAAAGUCCCUUUACAACCAAGCAGUGACUUGGUCUGAUUAUAAGCACCACAACACUGUUAAAGUAUUAAUCGGUAUGGAUACAUUACUUGAAAAUGGAUACCAAAUGACAGUGGUUUUUAUGGUAUGUUGGAAAGGGACGAUGAAGUGAUGGCAGUAAGAGAAGAGCUAGUAUUUUGUUAUUUCAGUUUAGCAGUCCCACCAGGUGCAAGGGUAAAAAAUCAAAUGACUGCUAGUGAAUGUAAGAAGACUACUGAUGUUGUAAAAUAUAUAUAUAUAUAUAUAUUUAAUUUAGUAGUACUCUUGCAUGCUAAAUGCAAAGGAGUGUGUGAUUUUAGUUCCAUUUUAUUUUAUGUUGUAUUUUUAUAUUAGUGGGUGGAAUUUUUUGUUUUACAGAACACGCAUAAAUCAAUUUAAUUCUAGUGUGGUUUAUAAUCAAAUGCACAUUUUUUAACAGCUGUUUUAUCAUAAAAUAUAACUUAAUACACUUUGUAUAAGGUGAGGAAUAAACCAAUAGCUCAUUUUCGACAAAUCGAGAAUUACAAGAAUGAUUUUUUUAUAGGUCAACAAUUUUAUAAAUCUGAUUGUCUUUAUAAGCUUUAGAUGGGUGUGAAAUUAAAAAGUAAUUACUAAACGCCUACCCCCUUGUAUUAAACACACAAGAGUGCUAAUGUUGCACAUUUUUUUUAAUUACUUGUAAUACUUGUAAUCACUUUAAUAUCAUAAAUGGUAUAAACAUUUUAA